rnacentral:rRNA from 1 species
CACGUAGGGCGCGAGCGUUGUCCGGAAUUAUUGGGCGUAAAGAGCUCGUAGGCGGCCUGUUGCGUCCGCUGUGAAAAGCCCGGGGCUUAACCCCGGGUCGGCAGUGGAUACGGGCAGGCUAGAGGUAGGUAGGGGAGAAUGGAAUUCCCGGGUGUAGCGGUGAAAUGCGCAGAUAUCGGGAGGAACACCGGUGGCGAAGGCGGUUCUCUGGGCCUU